UGGGGAAUUUUGGACAAUGGGGGAAACCCUGAUCCAGCCAUCCCGCGUGUGCGAUGGAGGCCUUCGGGUUGUAAAGCACUUUUGGCAGGAAAGAAACGUCAUGGGUUAAUACCCCGUGAAACUGACGGUACCUGCAGAAUAAGCACCGGCUAACUACGUGCCAGCAGCCGCGGUAAUACGUAGGGUGCAAGCGUUAAUCGGAAUUACUGGGCGUAAAGCGUGCGCAGGCGGUUCGGAAGGAAAGAUGUGAAAUCCCAGAGCUCAACUGUGGAACUGCAUUUUUAACUACCGGGCUAGAGUGUGUCAGAGGGAGGUGGAAUUCCGCGUGUAGCAGUGAAAUGCGUAGAUAUGCGGAGGAAAACCGAUGGCGAAGGCAGCCUCCUGGGAUAACACUGACGCUCAUGCACGAAAGCGUGGGGAGCAAACAGG
rnacentral:rRNA from 1 species